rnacentral:tRNA from 2 species
CGGCGAGUAGCGCAGCUUGGUAGCGCAACUGGUUUGGGACCAGUGGGUCGGAGGUUCGAAUUUUUGUUUUCUGU